rnacentral:misc_RNA from 1 species
UCUCCGUUGGUGAACCAGCGGAGGGAUCAUUACAGGAUCGAAAGACUCCUAUAACCCCUGUGAACUUACUACAAAUACGUUGCUUCGGCGGGUGCCCCGGGUCUCCCGGGGCGUUCAGCCCGCCGGCAGCCUUCAAAUUCUGUUUCUUUGCGUUGGCAUCUCGAGUAUACAAAAAUAAGUUAAAACUUUCAACAACGGAUCUCUUGGUACUG